rnacentral:lncRNA from 1 species
GCUACCUGAAACAUUUUGUCUGUGUUUUUUAUUUGCUUCUGUUAGAUAUGUACAAUUUUGAUUUUUGAAAAUGUCUUCUUGAAGCUGGAGGUGUAGCUUAGCAGGAGAGGGCUUGACUAGCAUGAGUCAGGUCUUAGUUUCAGUCUUCAGUACUCAUGGGAAAAAGUCUUGGUCCUGGAGGGGUAGCCCUGAGUUCAGUUCCCAGGCACAAAUAAAUAAAUUAAAAUUUAAUUGUGGGUAGAAGUGGAGGAUAAACAAAAAUAUCUUUUCUCCUAGAGGCUUUAAUCCCUAGAUAGUGAAUUUUGAAGGUGAUUAUCAACAAAAUCUACAAGGCUUGCAAAGCAAUGAGGAUCAAUGCUUUGAAACAUUGUGAGCCUGUUUGCUUUUACAAAUUGAAUACUUGUUUCCUUUGGAUUCCUGGUGUAGGUGGGAAAACCAUCCUUAGAUUGCUUUGAAAUGAUUCCCUCUUAACAGAAAUGCCCUAUACUGGUGGGACUGAUAUGGAAAAAAGUGAACUCUACCUUUGAAUAUCGGGCAUUUCACCCUAUUUGAAUGAGAAAGACACUCAAGUACUUUUCUCAGAAUGAGUCUUUUUUUUUUUUUUUUUUUUUUUUGAGACAGGGUUUCACUGGCCUUAAACUUACUAGGUAGCCCAGGUUGGCUUUCAAUUUGCAGCAGUCUUCCUGCCACAGCCUCUGGAGUGCUACCAUGCCUAGCUAUAAUGAGUUUGAAUAUUAGAAGCAAUCUUACAUUUUAUUCUGUUGAUGAUCAAAUUAUCUUUAGUUUUUAGAGUCCAUUAUCCUUGGAAGUUUAAGAAGGUUUGAUUUUUAAACGAGCAUAUUUGUUCUAAAAAAAUAAAACUAUUCAAUCUUAGGAAAAAAGUAAUCAAAUACUAUCAGGUGCCCAGUGUGUACUAACAUGAGACAUUUUUUAAAAAUUUCAGAUCCAUGUACUAACGAGACAUUCUUUAAAAAUUUCAGAUCCUACCAGACUCUUCACUUAACAUGUCUUCAAGGUUCAUCCAUAUCAUACAUGUAACAAGAGAGCCUUAGAGGAAGGAUAAAGAUCAACAAAAAAG